UUUUUUUUUUAUCUUUUUCUUUUUCAUGUGUAGUACUUAUGAUGCUUAAUGAAGGCUCACUUUUUAUUAAUGCAUGGGACUGGUUCAUAGUGUGCUCCAAUGGUACCAGUACGUAUACUUUUGUGAAUUGUGACACGCAAUUGGUACAAAAAAAAGGUCUCAAAAGAUUACUACUAUAGACUAUAGAGGAGUAUAUAAGGCAUGUUAGUUGAUAAGCAGCUCAAUUUGCGUUGUACUAAGUUACCCAUGAAUACUUUAGCUUUUUAUGGACUCCUCCUGUGAGUUAGGGAAGGACAAAUAUAUGAUGCUAUAUUCAUGAUCUUUAAUUAACAUGCAUGCUAAAAUGGAGAUUUCAAUUGGUUAAAUUAUUGUGCAUUACAAAAUAUUUAAUCUAGUUCUCACUUAAUGAUAGAUCAGUGCACACAAAAAUAUUUUACAUAUAAAAUUAUUCGACGUGAGAUAUUAAUCCGACAACGAGUCCACACGUAAUUUUUUAAUAAAUGAAAAAAAUAAACGUGACUAUGUGGUGGGGACUUAAACUUUGAAUCUCGUGCUUCAAAACUAUUCUAAAUUAUGAAGAAAAAUUAAUUAAGAUAAUGAAAAAUUGAGUAUAUCAAUAAAACAUUGGAGGUAGAGGGCCAAUUUCAUAAUAGAGGACAAAUGAGAGGGUCUACAAACAUUAAAAUUGUGACUAGUUUGACAUUCGUUGCCUUUUUCUAUUUUCAUAUGAAAAUAUUCCAUAUGAUGUGAUUUCUCACUGCUUAGCACCGAGCACGUGGACGAAAUAUAUGGACACUAAAAUUUUAUUAUAUAAUAAUUAAAUUUAAGUUUAGCAAAUCACAUUAUUCUUAAUUUAAUAGAUAUCAUCUCAAUUUAACAUAAUAUAUUAUUUUUUCCUAUAUUACCACAUAAUAGGCAUAACAUCUAUAUCUAUAUUUGUAUAUCUAUAUCUAUACAUAAAUUCUCAUGCCAAAACCUUACGCAAAUGUACUCCCUUAAUUAAAGAAGGUGAGACUCUAAGUUGUAUAUACUCACAUUUAAUUUUUUCUUUUAGUAGUCCUUAGUCUACCAUUUAUAAGAAGUAUAAUAUUUGUACUUAAAUUGUAUUGUAUAGUUAUACAAAGGAGAUGCAUUCUCCUUCUCUAAUGACUUUUCUACCGUAUUUUUAUUUUUUAUUGAAUUAUAAUUUUAUUAUAAAAAUUUGAAUAUAUUUUUUUAUAUUAUUAACUUCAAUUAAAUAUGAUUAUAUUCUUUGUUCUUUUUAAGUUCUAUAUUUUUUUUAUUGAACCUAUAAUUUUUUGCUAAAAAAAUUUUAUUCGCUGUAUCGCAUGAAUUCCUACACAUGCCAAACUCCCACCAAGUUGAGCCUAUCAACGUCCACUUAAUUAUCGAAUAAUUUUAUUAUUAUUAAAUUAAAUCAGUAACGAAAUUUUCCCUUUAUUAGGCACAUUGCUCUUGUGAAAAUAUAUUGCUCGGUUGAGAACUCAAUUAAUUACGAAAUAUUAGUAGUACCCUUAUCUUGAUAGCGCCUCCCUACUUAUUAUUUAUUAGGCUAUAUCGCAUUUAGGAGGGUGCAUUUAAUUCCGGUGUAUUAAUAGUAAACCACACUGAAACAGUUAAAGCAAUUAAUUAAUUAAUUAAUGAGUACAAUUAAUGCAGGAUUAGGGCCAAGGCACGGGCGCGGGCGCGGAUGGUGAGGCAAGUCCCAUCACGGGUACCCCUCAAAGCAGGGCCAAGCAACGUGUCCAAGUUGAGUUUCUUUUAAUUUUGAACUUUAAUGCAAUUAUUAUUAUUAUGUUCUUAUUAUUGAUUAAAAGGCAAUGUACAGUUAAAAUUACUGUAAAUGAUUAAUAGCAUAACAAUAAUUAAAUACAACGUUAAUUUUAUACAUACCCCUAGAGCAGGGCUGCUGUGCUCUCAGGAGCUCCUGAGCUGUUUUCGAUGGAGUUUCCAAACCGACGAUCGACUCCGUUAAAUUUGAUCUAGCGUAUUUGAAGUUUCUAGAAAAUAAUUUUUGACAUUUUUGGAUAUCAUUUACCUAGCAAUCGAAAUGAUUCAAAAUCAAUAAAUUUUAAUGGCUGAAAAUAAAAAUUCUAUAAAAAGUGGUGAUAUAUUACUAAAAUUUUCGAUCAGAAAUAUUGAUCUUAUUGUAGAUAGUAUAAAGAAUUUUGUAUCAAAAUUUUAUUUGAUUUGAAUACUUCUACACCGUUAAACUUGAAAACGGCAGAUAUCAACCAUUAAAAAUUAUGGAUUUUGAAUCCUUUCGAUCACUAGGUAAAUGAUAUCAAAAAAUCGUAAAAAUUAUUUUCUAGAAACUUCAAAUGCACUAGAUCAAGUCUAACGGAGCCGAUCGUCGAUUCGAAAAUUUCAUCAUCGAAAAUGGCUCAGGAGCAUGGAGGCUUCCGUGCUCCUGAGAGCACAGGAGCCCUGCUCCAUAUCCCUAUAAAUAUUAGUGAAUAAUAAAUAUAUUCUUAUAAAAUUCAACUUUCGUAUAUUGUCCCUACAAAUAUCCUGAUAUUUCCAAAUAUAUCACUUUGAUUUGCUACCGUUAAAGAACCGUUAGAAAACUGUUUAUUUUUCAAUUUGCAAUCAUAAAUAUGUCCCUCCAAAAGACAUAAUAACAAGAGGGAUAAAAUUAUCAAAAAAUAAUCAUAAUUAAGUAUUUAAUUUUGGUCAAAUAAAUUUUUCUAACGGAUUCUAACGAUAAGGAUAUAUUUAAAAAUAUCAGGAUUUUGUAGGGACAAUAUAUGAUAAUUGAAAUUUGUAGCGAUAUUUUGCCAUUCACUAUAUUUGUAGGAACCAGUAUGAAAUUAACCCUUGAAUAUAAUACUUAACUGCUAUAAUUUGAAAAUUUUUAAAAUUAUAUAAAUUAAAAUUUAAGAAUAAAAAAACAAUUUAGCCAAAUUAAAAUUUAGCUUUUUUAAAUAUUUUUGUGACACAUAAAAUAAUUUAUAGGCAUCCAUAAUCAUAAAUUAUCAUUUUCAUUUUUUUUUUAUAAAUUAAACAACUUUUUUUCCCCCUAUUAUUGAUUAUUUUGUAUAUGAUAUUUUGAAAGUAAAUUUUUAAACUUUAUAGUUUUUUAUACACGACGUUCUUAUAUAUCUUUAACUUUUUAAAGUAAUUUUAUAUUAGUCAGAGGGCGGAGGCAGAGGAUCCAAAUUUCAAAUUUUAUAUAUUUUGUGUAUAGUUGUGUAAAUUUUGCACUCCACGUAUUCUAGAGUUCAACAAAUAUCUUUGAAUUUUUAGUUAGGAAAAACAGAAGAAAAAAAAAAAGUGUAUGAGUUGGACGGAUACAAACACCGGGUGCAGGAAAAAGCUUGCCGGUCCACAUAGGUCGAGUCCGAGCCGAUAAUAAAAAAAGCGCGUGAGGCGGGCGAACACGAUGGUCAAGCCCACAUGUGAGCGGUUCGACUAAAACCGGGAAAAGGCCAACACGUGACCACCCACGUGGUGCUUCUCCUCGCACCAAACUCGGUGGGCCCAAGAGUUUUUUGGCUUAUUUAUUUAUUUAUUAUUUUUCGUUCGCAAAAAUGGUCGGUAUCAGAAUAAUUUGUUUCGACACUAAAAUGAUGAAGGAUCAUCCAAAUUUUUACUCAUAAUGGUAGCGGGAUGGACCCUCCGAAUUCGGCGGGGAUGAUCGGUGAAGUCGAAUUCGCGAAUUUUACGAGUUUAUCUUACAAGUUUCUCGUUAUCUGACUUUUCGUUUACCAACAAUACUGGCGCCACCAAUCAUGCCCUUGAUUACUGUAUAAAAAGGUAAAUUAUACUUUUGGUCCUUACACUAUAAAGUGUGUAAUAUUUUAAUUUUCAAAUUUUAAUUUAAUAUAAAUUUUAUAAAUUAUUAUUAUUAUAAUUAAACCUCAUAAUUUAAUUUAUAUGACUAAAUAUUAAUAAUUUAUUAAUAUAAAAAUAAUAUAACACUUCACUUACUUACUAUCACAUUGUUAAAUCACUUCACUGCUAUAUUAUUGCAUGAGAGAAUUCUAUUAGGCCACCUAAGACAAAGAGUCAACUGGGAUUAGGACCGAAAAAAGUGCAGCAGGACAAAGUCCAGUGUGGCAAGAGUUCCUUAUAAAACAUUGGUUGGUUGGUAACAGCUAUCACCACGACACAAACACUUCCCAUCAUCAAAUCUGUUAGGAGGUGCUUGAUUUCAAAAAAUAAAUAAUUAUAAUUAUAAUUUUAAAAUAAAUUUUUUUUGCUGAAAGAUAUUUUUUUUGUUCAUCUAAAUUCUAAUAAUAAAAAUAAAUUUCAAAACAAUCUAUUUAUUUGUAAAUAAACAUUUUAUAAUCUUUUUUUUUUUUGAAAAAUAAUUUUUAACACACCCCGUUACAGUUACACCCCAAAACUGCAACAGCUAUAUAUACACACGAGAACGUAUAUGCUGUGACUAAUAGGUGGUGGGUUUGUCGCUUUAGAAUUAAUUGUGCGGCAAUUAAGUGGGGGGUUCCCAAGAGACAAGUAGAUUAGUGAACCUAAAUGAGGAUUAAUUAAUCGUUCGAAGAACAUACGGGGGUCUAAGCAGUGGUAACAAAAUAGUAUAUAUUAUAUAUUUUAUACCUGCUUCCGAGAAAGGCCGUUUCACAAGUCAAUGCAAAUAUUUAUAUCUACAUAUACAUUAAUUCUACGUCUUAGUUAAUUUAAGCACCCUACUAAUAACCUGCGUCCGAGAUUAACUGAGGGGACACGUGGCCGGGGGAGGAACACGAACCGGGUGGGGUGGUGGGGGAGGGGGGUUUAGAAAAAGUCGAACCGCCGUCUAAUCACGGUCGUGGAGAGCGGACCGGAGCCGGGCCGGGACGACGGGCCGUGUGUCGGAGGUUGCGGAGGAGGCGAAGUUGAGGCCCUUUAAGAAGUGGACUUCACGUCUCGGCCCGCGCCGGCGAGCCGAACCCCGGGCGCUCGCGUCCAUUGACGAGGAGCUCGGGCGAUAGGUCGCGGGCGCGGCCGAACCGGCGUCCGGUCGGUUCCGUUCGGUCGGGAUUCGGGAGGGAUGGCGCGGGAAGCAGGCUGCGCACGAUGUUGCGAGGGUGCGUCGGUGGGCCCCGCAAAAGAGGGUGCGGCCGCUAGAGGAUCUCGUAAGAAGGACCCGUAUGCCCACACACACGGCGCGCCGGGUCCCGCCGAGGCGACCUCGGGUCCACUACCGUGGUCCCACGAAGGACUCGACCGGCGCGACCGCUCGGCCCAACAACCGCGGUCGGCCCGCCGCGCUUCCUGACCGGAAGAGCUGGUCCCGAGCUUCACGAGGUCCGGCCGGCGGAGUCGAGCAGCGAGAUCUGUCACAGCGGCGGGGACGGGGCUUGGGGGGUGGUGUGUGUGCCCCGCGUUCGACGGGGGGAGAGUGGAUGACAGAGAGUCGAGUCGAUAGCAGGAUGUGGCCGUCCGAUCGGAUCAGGAUGUUCUCCGGCUUCAGGUCGCGGUACACGAUCCCCAGCAUGUGCAGGUACUCCAACGCCAACAGCACCUCCGCCGCGUAAAACCUGCAGCGCACCCCAAACUCAAACAUAAUAAUAAUAAUAAUAAUAAUAAUAUUAUUGUUAUUAUUAUUAUUAUUAUUAGUUCGUAAGAAGGAGGAGGGUAAUAAUGGGAAUGCGAUCAUUUCCGAGAGGAUUAAUUUGUGGUUUCGUUUUUCGCUUUUCAUUUCAAUCAACUGGGCGGUGGGUUGAAAAGAUGUGGUGGGGUUGGCGUUUAUGGGAGGGAAAGAACGGCUUUGUUACACCCGAACAAGUGGGUUUCCUUAACCGGAAAGGUUCAGCUACUUCGAGGAAUCGCAGUGAAUGCGAGUUACUAACGCCAGAGAGAAUUAGAAGAAGAAGAAGAGGAGGAGGAACGAAGAAAAGAAAAAUGGAAAAAAAAAAAGAAGAAAAAACCUGGCGGCGGAGAGGGAGAAGCGAAGGGCGGGUUGGCGGUGGCGGAGGGAGUGGAGGUCGCCGCCGCAGCAGUACUCCAUGACGACGCAGGAGUAGUGAGGGGAGGCGUCGAAAUCGGCGUAGAGGGACGGGAGGAAGGGGUGGUCCAAAACCCUAAGGAUCCUCCGCUCCGUCGCCGCGCGCUCCAGCUUCUUCUUCUUCGCGAUCGCCGUCUUGUCCACCACCUUCAUCGCGUACAGGAACCGCGCCGGCGCCGCCGCCGCCGCGGCGCCCGCCGUGGCGGGGCACCGCGGCUCGUCCCGGAGGCGGCAGAGAUAGACGGUCCCGAUGUCGCCGCUCCCGAUCCGACGGAUCAGCUUGAAGUCCCGCGGCCCCAGGGCGGCGGCCCCGCCGCGCCGCGACCGGAUCGCGGCCCACGCCGGAUCGGACGCGCGGUGCGGCUUCGCCCCCGCUCUCGGCGUCGGCGGAGAAGGGGUGGCCGCGGCGGCGGCGGAGGCGUCGAAGGAGAGGCGGGAGAAGCUGGAGCAGCGGUCGCAGCUCCCCGCGCUGCUCAUGGAGCUGUGGCUCGAGUUUAGGGUUUCGGAGCCGAUCUCGAGGUCCGAAUCCGGUGAGAGCUCUAACAUUUUCCGAAAUUAGCCGAACCAAAUCCAAAAAACGCUUUAAUACGCCGACUCCUCUUCUCUCCUCUCCCAACAACAAAACGAAGAAUCACAGUAAUAAACCCCAGAAACUUGGGAUGGAUUCUUUUGGCUUCCACCCCAAAAUCAAAAAGAAAAAAAAAAAGGAACGAAAAAUCCUAACACUCCCACCUCCUUUUUAAAGCUACUAACCCCAUGGGAGGAGCUUUUCUUCUUCUUUCUCUUUCUCUCUCACCCUCUUUUCAUUUACUUUUAUAUUUAUUUAUUUUUAACUGGAGCUAGCAGUUUGCUUGCUUUGUUCGCACUCUGGAGAGGACGCUUGGGUAUAUAUACCAACGGCGAAACGAGGUAACGGGUGGUCUACUAUUUUCUCCCAUUUUUAAAAAUUUUUUCCUUUUUUUUUUUUUUAAAAAAAAAAAGAAGCGAUUUUGUAAAAAUUUCGCAUGCGGCGUGCUCCAGGUACCGGGAGUCAGCCUCUCGAAACGCUGGCGUGGCACGUGCGGACCUUCCCAGCGGCACGUGCGCUCCGGGAGCUCUCCUUCCCCCCUUUUCAACUGUAGUAUACGGGGACUCUAUGUACUUUUGGACGCAUCCGGUGCACCCAUCCCCAAGAUUCCCCGUACUAGCUAGUAGAAAUUUUUAAAAAUAAACUUCAUUAAAAAUAUAAAAUAAUUAGAUUUUUUCAGCUCAGAUACCUAAUGUAGUAACUAUCAAGUUCUUAAUCAACUAUAUAUUAGGUACGCGAGCUUAUGGUUUUGUGUACGUAGUAGGCUCAUUAUAUUUUAAUUCUGAAUAAAAAUUGCUUAGUGUGAUGCAGCUAAUUUACGGAUAUAUACACCGGGUGGAGGCAAUAAAAUUGGUGUCCGCCGUGGCCAUGGGGAGUCGCACCCUCGCAGCGCCACGGAUUGUCGCUAGUGGCCGCAGAGAGCGGGAGGGAGGGAGGGAGGGAGCGAGGACAGUGGCACGACCGUAAAUAGAUGCGUCGGGAAGCGUCGCAUAUGCAAUGAUCGCAGCUGAAGAAGACGUAUGCAUGCAAAAGAUGCGGGGCGUAGUCGUCAGCGAUUAGAAGAGAGGUAAAGUCAUAAUUUCGCUUUUGGACUCGCUCGAUCGUAUUUGACAGGAAAAAGUAGGGUUUCUAUUUUUUGAUAAAAUCCAGAUACCACUAGUAGUGGUCGUAGAGGAAAUUUUUGGAAAAACAUAUUGCCUCAACCAAUUAAUUCACCUAUUUAAUUAAGUUAAUCCUUUCAUUAAAAAAAAAAAGAAAUUAGUGUAAUUCAUUGAUAAUGGCAGAGAAUGUGGUAUAAAAGGGGAUAAGAUUAUUAUGUGCAAUCUUGCAUCUGAUUUUAUAUAUUUGUGCUACACAGUAGGUCGUCGUGCAGAAACAAAUGAGUCUUUAGAAAAAAAAUUGCAUCCGAAAUAUAUGUAUAUAAAUUGAACUUUUAUACUUUUAAAGAUAUCAAGUCAUUUUAGGUUUUCGGCUUUUAGAUUAAAGAUUUAUAGAGUUAGAAUAAUAGUGCUCUCCUAAAAUUGAGUGGGUGACUUAUAAGCACCAAGUGUUAUGAGGGCUUUUAAAAGUCAUCAUAUUGGGGGGUCUGUUUUACAUAGUGUUUGGACUUACAGUCCAUCCUACAUAAAUAAGUAAGACUGUUCGGCAAAACCGAUCGUCUCUAACGUAAGUGGUAAAGAGUUUGGUGAUUGGUACCUGAGGUUCUAAGUUUGAAUUCUAGUUGAUUCACAUUUCUAGCUAAGUUUUUAUUUUUUAAAAAAUAAACAAAGCAGGUAGCAUGCUACCUUUCUCUCUCUAAAAAAAAAAAAAAAGAAGAGACUGUUCAACAAGCCUUGUAUGAUGAGUUACAACAUAUCAUACAACCCUAGCUUUAUUACAUUCAAAGCCAUGUGGUAUAAUCCCGAGCACGACUUUGUUCAUAAACUUCUAAGCUGAGUCAUUAGUGAGACAGUUUGGCGAAUUAUAUAAUUCACUCUAUAUUCGACUGUUGAAGGUUUGUUCCAAUCAAAAAGUUUUAAGUCCAAAUCUCAACAUCUUGUUGAACAACAGGCUCAAAGGGAGCCUAAUAAAUUUGAAUGAGGAGCUUUUCAUUCAAUAUAUAUAUAUAUAUAUAUAUAUAUUUUUUGGUUCCAUAAUCCAGCACCUAGAGGCACCAUUGAACCAAACAGUCUACUAUACUAAUAUCUUAAUCAUUAGUUUUGGUUAAUUUCUCCUCUCCCUGUAGAAAACUAGAAACAGAGGGGAAAUCAUGACCUAUGGCUAAACUUAUUCAAUAAAGCUAAACUAUAACUACAUCAUAGCCCCAGAGACUGCUUAAAGAUAAUGUCUUGGAUUACAUGCCCAGGUGUCUCUCUCACAAGGACACUGAAAUGAAAUGCUUUCUCCAACCAGUCCAAAAUUGUUACUCAUACCCAGAACCCAAGAAGUUUCUCUCCCACUUAAUUUCUCCUCCAAAAAUAAUUUUAGCCUUUGUCCUAAUCCCCACUUAAUCAAUCCUCCCAAUGUAAAGCUUUGUCCCGUGAGGAUCCAUUCAACCGUGAAACCUUUUCCUAAAAGAUACCUCAUCGCUUUAUCUUUUAUGAAGGCCCAUGCAAGGAUAGAAACAGUACACGCACACACACACACACAAAAAAAAAAAGUUGUAAAGUGUGCUUGAAUUAGUGAAUAAAAGACAAGUGUUGGAGUUAAUGGUGGUGGAAUACUUGCUGCAUAGAGACAAGCAUCAGUACUAGGUGUCUCUGAUCUUAUUAUAAACUAAUCGAGCUUAAUAUUAAUUCGAGCUAUAAUCGACGACGAUUAGAGAUCGUGGCGGCAUCCGAGGCCGUGCGCGACCCGCGGCCAUGUGCGGCGACAAGGGGCAUUUGAGCUGCCGGAGAGACGAGCCCACAAUAAGGAAUGGCUUUUGCCGGUCCACUUGAAAGAUACCUAUAAUAAUGCGUUAAUUAUACUUAUGAUGAUAUCUCACUCUCUCUAAUUAUUUAUUUUUGGUCGUAAUGGAAUAUUACUCAGAAGCUGAGGAGGAAAGAGGGGCCCAAUGGGGUAUGUGAAGGCAAUGUUGUCUAAGAGGGGCCCAAUGGGGCAUGUGAAGGCAAUGUUGUCUAGCCAAUUGCCAUCUUAGGUCUCGUUUCAUUCGGGUAUAAGCAAAAGUUGUUUAUUACAGAAAUAGGUAUACGUUCAGGGAUAUAAGCAAGAAUUAGAUUAAUUUUGCGUUUGAAUGAAAAUUAGAUUGUUUCCGAAAAUAAAGAAAUAACAUUUGACCGACCGUCCCUAAAUCAAGUGGCAAAGGGCUUAGUGGUUGGUACCCGAGACCCAAGUUCGAAUCCUAGUUGAUUCAUAUUUCAGAUUAAGUUUAUUUCUAAAUAAAAUAAACGAAGCGGGUAGCGUGCUACCUAUCUCUCAAAAAAGAAAAAAUAACAUUUGGAUAGAUAAGAUAGAAUAAGAAGGAUAGUGAGUAGUUAUAAAUAAAAAAUAAUGAUAUUACUUUUCUCAUUAUAUUUAAAUUUAAAAUUUAAAAUUUUAUAUUUGUAUUUUUAAAUUUAAAAUUUUAACCUUUAAAUUUAAAAAUUUGAAAUUAAAAUUUUAACAUUUAAAAUCUCAAAUUUAAAAGUCAAAAUUUUAAAUUUUAAAUUUCAAACUUUAAGUUUAAGAUCAAAUUUAAAUUUGAAAAAUAUAAAAUAUCAAAUUUUAAAUAUCAAAANNNNUUAUAUAUUAUAAUAUAUUACUUUUAUUAUAAAAUUAUUAAUUGUACUAUAUUAAUACAUAUUAUUUAUAUUUAAAUAUUAUAAUAAAUUAUAUUUAAAUAAUAUAAUAGAUUAUUUUUAAUAAAUUUAUAAUUUUUUUAUUAUUAAUAAAUUAAUAAAAUUUUAAAAAAUUCUACUUAAACUUAAAUUUAAUAAAAAUAAUCUAUUAUAUUAUUUAAAUAUAAUUUAUUAUAAUAUUUAAAUAUAAAUAAUAUGUAUUAAUAUAGUACAAUUAAUAAUUUUAUAAUAAAAGUAAUAUAUUAUAAUAUAUAACAUAUUUUAUUUAUAUAAUUUAGUUUUAAUUCAAUUUAUAAUUUUAAUAAAGUUUGAAAUUAAACAUUGAAAUAACACUAUUCCACCAAAAUGGUGGAAUAAUAAAUUUCAAGUUAUUCCGGGAUAGCCGGGAAUAACAAAGUUUGAUUGGAAUAAAAUAUUCCGGCAAAAAAUUAUUCCGUUUGGUAAAAUAACGUGGAUAACUUUGCUUAUUUCCGUUCAUACUCCGAACCAAACGGGGUCUUAAAGUACACAAAAUGGAGCCAUGUAUGAGAAGAAACUAUAUUCCUUUGUGAGGAGAGAGAGAGAGAGAGAGAGAGAGAGAGAGAGAGAGAGAGUACCAAUACAGGUCAUUUAAGAUUCUUGUUUCUUUGCCCAAAGACAAGCUUAGAGUGCCCCCAUAAUGCCUGUGACAUGCUUCAACCGCACCUCAGUUCUAAAUAAUACAAAAUCAGAGCAUUACUUAUUUUAAUCCAUAAUCUACUGUUUGGUACCUUCAACAUUGAAGGAACUGCAGUUGUUUAUGUCAACAAAAUGAGUUGCAUGGUCAUUAGUUAGUAAGACACAUAAGGGUUAGAUAUAUAAUAAUGUUGCCUUGUGAAAAUUGCAAUGUAGUGUCUACAAAGUAGGGCCUCUUUUUUCUUUCCCCUCCUUUUGACAUCAUGGCACUCUUCAAGAGCUGUGUAUUUUGAGAUGAUUGAGAGGGGAUUGGAAUUAAAAAUGUCAACAUCAUGAUUCAUUAGGUGUAUAUAGACUUUAUUUGUACAUUUUAAUCUCGUGGUUUGGUGCCUCUAUGAGGUUGCCUCUCCAGCUUCUUUAUCUCAGAAAAGCAAGAGUCAAAGUUUUCAUUACAUUAAUUACUUUUGAAACUUUUAUUGUGCACAAUAAUGUUAUAACUAAACUUUCACUAAGAAAUUCAAGUUUUGUUUUUGCUUGAAACUAUCGAUUAAUUUCACCGAAGAACACUUUCCCAGAACAAUGGGCAUCUUUAGGGUGAUUUCACUGCAGAAUUUUGCAGGACAUUUCAAACCAACGCAAGUGCUUGUUAGGCCUGCAUCUGCUUCUGUUUUCAGCUCUGGCUAAUUCUGAUAAUUAAUGCACUUGGCGAAUGAAAUGAUCUGAAGAUUGUACUUGUUGUGUCACUUGAUUCACUAUGCAAACAUCGCUCACUUCGUCAGUAACGAUAUAUCUACAGUAGCACCAAAUAGACUCAAACCUCGUAAAUCCGGGAACAAACCAAUUAUGCUACAUUGGCAUGGCAUAGCUCCACAGGCAAUAUUGUGAGAUCCACCACUAUUCCUAUUCCUAUUGAGUAGUCAAUUGUACAUUUUUGAGUCCAGUGACUGAAUCCACUUGAGAGGCUUAAUUAGUGAUAUCGCAAAUAUUUAACACUGGCUCCACUCAAUUAACAGGCAAUGACUAUGAAUGUGAUAGGCCCUAGCUUGUUGAAAUAUAACUUCGACAAAUGAUUCAUCGACGAUUAACGUACGAACAAUAUAUUUAAUUCCUCUUAAUUUCUCUAGAUAACGAAGAGGUAGGUCCACGUUGUUUACCAAAAAAAACAAAAGGUGUAAAAACCAUUUGAUUGCUCCCAGAAAAGUUGUGUGGAAACAUUUACUUUACUUGGCAUUAAUUCAAAAAACUUAGAAUAAGAAUAUGCCCAACAUAGUGUUAAAACUUUACUUUACACUGCAUUAUAUGUUAGUUUAAAAUAUUAGAACAAGUAUACACGUACCUAACAUAUGGUCAAAAUCCCUGCGAAAUAACAUAAAGAAAACCAAACAAAAAGAUAACAUGUUUAUCUCUCUCCAUUUAUUCAAGAUUUUAAACCUAUAUAUUCGAUAUCAGUAACAAUAAUACUUAAUUACACAUUCACACUAGAUUUCCACAUCGACUUUAGCACUACGAGGCUCUGAAUCACCAACUGAGUGUUUAAGCCACAUAAUAGAUUUGUCGAUUAAAUACGCCACGUGAUGGAUUAGAGUAGAAGCAUGUGCAUCACUUUCAAAUAAUAUAAGGAUCGUUCACCAUUAGCUAAAUAUGUAUACGUGGGCCGUUUUGCUCACAAAUGAUAUUGUUGUCAUAUAGUGUGUCCAUAUAUAUUAAUUGGUCCUAAUUCAACCUAAUCUACAUAGGAUAUUAGCAUGAUCUUAUUUUAAUUUUUGAAUUCAUUUAUUAUUCAGUUUGUAAGUUUUCAUUGCACUCUAGUUCUAACAUAUACCAAAAAUUUGGUAGUGGAUGUUUAAUUAAUCUCGCUUUUAAAAUAACUUCUCUCCUUUAAAGAUCAAUCGUUUGAUAUUCUAAUAUGCGAAAUCAUGAGUUUUUAUUAUAGAAGAAAGUUUAAAUAAAUUUCUUUACAGAAAGUUUGAACAAACCAAAUAGAUUAGUUACAUGUUACAAGUGACAAUUCAAAUAUAUAGAAAAUUUAUGCACAUCUUUUCUAUUGAUUUUUCACCAGUAACAACAAUUCAGCGACGAGUCAAAAAGGGAUGUUGAGACCCGAAUUUAAAUGGACGAGUAGAUUACGUGGCAUGUAGAAAAUCUCCACGCAUGUGAACACAUUCGGCUAAAAGUAAUUACCCGAAGAAAAAGGUGAUAACAAAUGAUGGAUAUAUAACGAAGCACACAAACCACAAGCUUGUUAUAUAAUGAUAGAAACAUUAAUCAAUCAUGAAGAAACUUUUUCUACCCCCAUUGAUUAGCCCGAGAAAGAUGGAGGGUGGGAAAAAGAAAAGAGGGAUGAUAAAAAGGGACAACUACGCCAAUAUUCGCGCUGUUUUGAUAGGGGGACAAAGGUACAUGACAAUAUUGCCACCCAUUUGAAUCCUCCCCCCUCAGAGCCCUACAUAACUUAGAGUACAACUCACAACUAGAGGGAAUCUUAACCCUUUUCUUUUUGGUUUGUUGAAUGUAGAAACGUAAUUGUUAAUACAUAUCAUUUUUAGUUAGAUGUAAUUAUAGAUAUAGUAUAGUUAAAAAUAUAGCAAUUAUAAUUUAUUUAUUUGAUUUAAUUACUUAUCAACUGUUACGGUUGAAACUACAGUUAAUUUACGUGUAGUUUUAACUACAGCAGUUAAGUUUUGAAUACACUUACAUACAAUUAAGACUAUAAUGCAUGCAUAAAUACAAUAAUAAUUGCAUGCAAUCAAACAAGUCUUGAUAAUUAGUUAGCCAUUUAGUUGAUUAACUCAGUUCCCAUGCAUAUUUUUAAGGAUUGCGUGUCCAAAACGCUCGAGAAAAGCAAGCCUUAAAUGAAGUGUUUAAUUAAUUGGAUUUUGUUCUUUGUCUAGCAAGAUUAAGGAAACGACAAAAUCGAACUUCACCUUUGAUUAGGGAUUGGUUAACUCAAGCCCAUAUCUUUAAGAUUAACUCAGCUGCAGGGAAUCCACACUAUUGAAUUAAUUGCUCCUAACAACCCUAGGAAUCCCUGUGAUGUAUAUUUUGAAUUGCUCUCCUAGAAAUAAAUACGCCUAAAAGAGUGUUACAAGGGUACUAGUUAGAAAAAUCCUUAGCCAUCACAUGCUACAAGUAUACGUCGUAAGUCGAUAUCUUCAAUUUAGUCCAGUUUGAAGGUGUUGGUCUUACCUUAUCCAUAUGUACAGUAGCUCUCGCGGCAUGCAUGCUUGACACGUGUUAAAGUGUUAUGGCUAUGUAGAGAGUUCUCUUGUAUAUACAUAAAACAUACAAAAGAACCUGCACCGCGUUCAAACUCUUGGACCAUAUAUGGUUUAUAAGAGAUUCUAAAUAUCCUAAAGGAACAUUUCUAAAAUUGGUUUUCUAAGAGUUCAAAAUGAAUUAGGACUCCUCCACUUUGAAAAUAUGUCUUUCGCUUCAUUCAGUUGAUUGAUUAGAUCUGAUUGCAAUGGAAUGACUUUAAGCAUGCGGUCCAAAUAAGAGAUCCUUUUGACCCUCAACUGAUCGACCAUGACAUCUGAUUGCUCGACUUCUCCAAUUCUACCAAAUUGAGUAGGGUUUAAUUGUAAUAGGAUAGUGUACGACUUUUUGACGACCGACUACGUAGAGUAUCAAAGUUUCUCCCAUUGAAGAUUCUCAUGAUUUGAGUGACUCCUCAAACUAAGAAGCCAAUCAAAAUGGUCAGGUUCUUUUGAAGAUAGAUAUGAGGAAUCUAAAUCGAUCCUAAAUGGAUGGACAAGCUACUGUGUGAUCUUUGUGUCAAAAGCAUUUUCUGACCAACUUUAUACUGCUUAUCAUAGCAAAUAGAAUUGUCGAAGUAGCUCUUAGAGCCUAGCUUUUAUGUUAGCUUAGGGACAACAAGUGAGUCUCUAACCAGUGAGAGUAGGUCUCCAAAACCAUACUGGAAGUCCCACUAACCCUAAGUUGCACAAUAGAGAAAACCCUACAGUUAGCAUACACCACUUUAACUUGACCAGAUCACAAAUAGUUUUGAAGAAUCCAGAAACUCGUGUGUUUAUGUUUGUUUACAAAAGAUAAAUUUCUCAUAAAAUAAA
rnacentral:lncRNA from 1 species